AAUUUUGGACAAUGGGCGCAAGCCUGAUCCAGCCAUGCCGCGUGAGUGAAGAAGGCCUUCGGGUUGUAAAGCUCCUUCGGACGGAAAGAAAUCGCGCAGGCUAAUCCCCUGCGCUGAUGACGGUACCUUCAUAAGAAUCCCCGGCUAACUCCGUGCCCGCAGCCGCGGUAAUACGUAGGGUGCGAGCGCUCAGCGGAAUUACUGGGCGUAAAGCGUGCGCAGGCGGUUGAUUAAGAAGGGCGUGAAAUACACGGGGUUAACCUGGGAAAUGCGCUUGUGACUGGUCAGCUAGAGUACGGCAGAGGGGGGUGGAAUUCCACGUGUAGCAGUGAAAUGCGUAGAGAUGUGGAGGAACACCGAUGGCGAAGGCAGCCCCCUGGGCCGAUACUGACGCUCAUGCACGAAAGCGUGGGUAGCAAACAGG
rnacentral:rRNA from 1 species